AGGGCGCACGGUGGAUGCCUUGGCAUUAAGAGCCGAUGAAGGACGUGACUAACGACGAUAUUCUAGGGGGAGCAGUAAGUACGCAUUGAUCCCUAGGUCUCCGAAUGGGGAAACCCACUAUGUUAUGCAUAGUAUCCGUAAGUGAAUACAUAGCUUACGCGAAGGUAACGCAGAGAACUGAAACAUCUAAGUACCUGCAGGAAGAGAAAGUAAAAACGAUUUCCUAAGUAGCGGCGAGCGAACGGGAAACAGGCCAAACCAAGAAGCUUGCUUCUUGGGGUUGUAGGACUGCAACGUGGACUUAAAGUCUAUAGAAGAAUUACCUGGGAAGGUAAGCCAAAGAGAGUAAUAGCCUCGUAUUUGAAAUAGACUUUAUACCUAGCAGUAUCCUGAGUAGGGCUGGACACGCGAAAUCCAGUUUGAAUCCGGGAGGACCAUCUCCCAAGCCUAAAUACUCCUUAAUGACCGAUAGUGAACCAGUACCGUGAGGGAAAGGUGAAAAGAACCCCGGGAGGGGAGUGAAAUAGCACCUGAAACCGUGUGCCUACAAGAAGUUCGAGCCCGUCAAUGGGUGAGAGCGUGCCUUUUGUAGAAUGAACCGGCGAGUUACGUUAUGAUGCGAGGUUAAGCUGAAGAGGCGGAGCCGUAGCGAAAGCGAGUCUGAAUAGGGCGCUUUAGUAUCAUGAUGUAGACCCGAAACCUAGUGACCUAUCCAUGAGCAGGUUGAAGGUGCGGUAAGACGCACUGGAGGACCGAACCAGGACACGUUGAAAAGUGUUUGGAUGACUUGUGGAUAGCGGAGAAAUUCCAAACGAACUGGGAGAUAGCUGGUUCUCUCCGAAAUAGCUUUAGGGCUAGCGUCGCAAUUUAAGUGUAUUGGAGGUAGAGCACUGUUUGGAUGAGGGGCCCAUCUCGGGUUACCAAUUUCAGAUAAACUCCGAAUGCUAAUACACAUGUGCGGCAGUCAGACUGCGAGUGCUAAGAUCCGUAGUCGAAAGGGAAACAGCCCAGACCACCAGCUAAGGUCCCAAAAUAUAUGUUAAGUGGAAAAGGAUGUGGGGUUGCACAGACAACUAGGAUGUUAGCUCAGAAGCAGCUAUCAUUCAAAGAGUGCGUAAUAGCUCACUAGUCGAGUGACCCUGCGCCGAAAAUGUACCGGGGCUAAACAUAUUACCGAAGCUGUGGAUUUAAUAUUAAUUAAAUGGUAGGAGAGCGUUGUAAUCAGCGAUGAAGGUAUACCGUGAGGGGUGCUGGAGCGAUUACAAGUGAGAAUGCCGGUAUGAGUAGCGCAAGAUAAGUGAGAAUCUUAUCCACCGUAAGACUAAGGUUUCCAGGGGAAGGCUCGUCCGCCCUGGGUUAGUCGGGACCUAAGGCGAGGCCGAAAGGCGUAGUCGAUGGACAACAGGUUGAUAUUCCUGUACUAGUAUUGUUAGUGAUGGAGGGACGCAGUAGGCUAAAGGGAGCCAGUUAAUGGAUUCUGGUCUAAGCAGUGAGGUGUGGAAUGUGUCAAAUGCAUUUUCCUUUAACAUUGAGCUGUGAUGGGGAAGCAACUACGGUUGCGAAGCCCUUGAUGUCACACUGCCAAGAAAAUCUUCUAGCGUUUAAUUCAAUACUACCCGUACCGCAAACCGACACAGGUAGUCGAGGCGAGUAGCCUCAGGUGAUCGAGAGAACUCUCGUUAAGGAACUCGGCAAAAUGACCCCGUAACUUCGGGAGAAGGGGUGCUGUAGAAAUACAGCCGCAGUGAAAAGAUCCAAGCAACUGUUUAUCAAAAACACAGCUCUCUGCUAAACCGCAAGGUGAUGUAUAGGGGGUGACGCCUGCCCGGUGCUGGAAGGUUAAGAGGAGGGGUUAGCUUAGGCGAAGCUCUGAAUUGAAGCCCCAGUAAACGGCGGCCGUAACUAUAACGGUCCUAAGGUAGCGAAAUUCCUUGUCGGGUAAGUUCCGACCCGCACGAAAGGCGUAAUGAUUUGGAUACUGUCUCAACGAGAGACUCGGUGAAAUUUUAGUACCUGUGAAGAUGCAGGUUACCCGCGACAGGACGGAAAGACCCCAUGGAGCUUUACUGCAGAUUGAUAUUGAGUACCUGUGAAGCAUGUACAGGAUAGGUAGGAGACUUUGACCUUGGGACGCUAGUUUCAAGUGAGUCGCUGUUGGGAUACUACCCUUGCUUCAUGGUUGCUCUAACCCACACGCAUAAUCGGCGUGGGAGACAGUGUCUGUCGGGCAGUUUGACUGGGGCGGUCGCCUCCUAAAGAGUAACGGAGGCGCCCAAAGGUUCCCUCAACAUGGUUGGAAAUCAUGUGUAGAGUGUAAAGGUAUAAGGGAGCUUGACUGCGAGAGCUACAACUCGAGCAGGUAGGAAACUAGGGCUUAGUGAUCCGGUGGUACCGCAUGGAAGGGCCAUCGCUCAACGGAUAAAAGCUACCCUGGGGAUAACAGGCUUAUCUCCCCCAAGAGUUCACAUCGACGGGGAGGUUUGGCACCUCGAUGUCGGCUCGUCGCAUCCUGGGGCUGUAGUCGGUCCCAAGGGUUGGGCUGUUCGCCCAUUAAAGCGGCACGCGAGCUGGGUUCAGAACGUCGUGAGACAGUUCGGUCCCUAUCCGUCGCGGGCGUAGGAAAUUUGAGAGGAUCUGCCCUUAGUACGAGAGGACCGGGGUGGACUUACCGCUGGUGUACCAGUUGUUCCGCCAGGAGCACCGCUGGGUAGCUAUGUAGGGAAGGGAUAAGCGCUGAAAGCAUCUAAGUGCGAAGCCCACCUCAAGAUGAGAUUUCCCAUUCU
rnacentral:rRNA from 1 species